rnacentral:lncRNA from 1 species
GUAGCUCAGGAAUCUGCUCCUCCCUCCAGCACCAUGGCAACAGGCCUCUGAGAACUGCUGAUCUGACGCCCUGGACGCCGGAAAUCUGAGAUGAAGGUGCCGGCAGGGCCCUGCCCGCUCUGAAGUCUCUGGGGGAAGCUUCUUUGCCUCUUCCAGCUUCUGGUGGCUCCACGCACUGCUGGGCUCGUGGCUGCCUCCCUCUGGUCUCUGCCCCGGUCUGCACGUGGCCUUCCCUGCGUGUUUCUGUGUCCUUGCUGCUGCUUAGAAGCACAGCAGCCAUUGGAUUAGGACCCACUCUCAUCCAGCAUGGCCUCAUCUUAACUCAUUACGUCUACAAAAUCUCCAUUUCCAAAUAAGGUCCCAUUCUGGGGUCCUGAGUGGACACGGCGGGGACACCAUCAACCCAUCCUAAGGCCUUCUUGGGCAGCCUCAGGGGGAAGCCGGACCAGCCUUAAGUGAAAGUGGAGGGUUCCAAGGAUCCUACAAAGGGGCCCUGACCCAGUCGGUGGGCAGCAGGGGACAGAGUGGACGUGGAACUUGUAGACAGACAGAACGAUGC